rnacentral:lncRNA from 1 species
AAUUAUGAAUGUUCUACGCUUUAAGAUAUUGUGUGGGAUUAAGAUUUGUCUAAAUUAUUUUUGAUAUUGACAGAAUAAAAAAAAAUUGAGAGAAAACUUUAAAAAAACCCCCUGUGAUUUUGUAGUUUUUCACUUUACCCCCCUGUGGUUUAAAAUGUAUCAAUUUGCCCCCCUGUGAUUUUUUUUUUCUCUUUUUCUUAUCAAUUUUAUUUUUUUUUCUUAAAUCAGUGAUAAAGUUAAAAUUAAAGGGUACUAAAGUGAAUAUUUGAUAAAUCUAGAUGGAUAUAUGAAGUUUUUUGUAUAUAAUUUAAUGAAAUAUUAACAAAAAAGCUACCGAAAAGAUAAAAACGAAACCAUAGGGGGCAAAUUGAUACACUUUAAACCACAGGGGGGCAAGGUGAGAAACUACGAAACCACAUGGAGAGUUUUUGAAGUUUUUUCAAAAAUUAAAUUGUGACUAAAUAUAAUGUGUUUAUUUUGGCAUUUCUAAAAAU